CGGACCUCCAGUGUCAGAUUUUCCCCAUAGUAAGGCAUUGAAUAAUGCUUUCCUAUCGGGAGGUCUAAUGCGUGCGCGGCAGAUCUCCCCCGCCAGCUAACAUUGGGGGGUAGAAGCUUGGGCGGACCCUGACCCAGCGCCGAGGGACGGUGCUGGAUUCAGGUUAGUGGCUGAAGGGAUUUUAUCUCAAAUGAAGAGGAAGUGGGAGGAGUCUGAUUGCACUAUAUAUUAUUGAUAUACAUUCUGAUUGGUUGAUUUUUUUUUAUCCACAUUGUUAACUGUUUCUUUGCUGCUGGGGGGGUUUCAGUACAGAAGGAUAAGCAAAUAUUUGCCUCCUGUCUUUAACAAAAUUAAAAAAUUUCAGUCCCUGAGCUAGAAUAAUCCAUAAUUCUCAAUGAGAUGCUUCUGAUUUAAAUAUUUCCCAAGAAUUCUGUGGUGGGUAUUAACUGAAUGGCUUGCAAACACUGCAAACAAUAGAUGUGAAGUUUUUGCAACCUGUUUUAGAUAGAACCCUGAUGAAAAAAAUAUUGCAUAAAUAAAUGUGCAAGUUUUAUUUAUGACAUAUCUUCUAAAUAUUGACUUUUAUUUUUGCAAUGGAGUGUUCAUUUAAAUAAUUCACGUCACAAGCCAGAUUACACAGUGUACACUAUUCAAAAAAUGUUUUUUUGCAUGCAUAGCUGAAAGUCAUGGUGUUUAACUUUUCAACUGUGCUAUUGUUUUACAACAGCGCCACCUUGAUCACAUGUUUUCCCAUCUUUCAGUCUGUUUAAAUCGUAGUCGGUG